GUCCACGCUGUAAACGAUGGAUACUAGUUGUUGGGGAGACUCAGUGACUAAGCGAAAGUGAUAAGUAUCCCACCUGGGGAGUACGUUCGCAAGGAUGAAACUCAAAGGAAUUGACGGGGGCCCGCACAAGCGGUGGAGCAUGUGGUUUAAUUCGAUGAUACGCGAGGAACCUUACCAAGGCUUGAAUGCAUAAUGACAGGACUGGAAACAGUUUUUUCUUCGGACAGAAUGCAAGGUGCUGCAUGGCUGUCGU
rnacentral:rRNA from 1 species